UAUAAUACUUCCAAGGCAAAGUGGGUGGCGGAGUCGAUGAAAGAUGAAGAGCCUUUGCGUCUAAACACAUUUUUCUUAGCACACAAGCAGCAUCGUCGUAAUACCUUAAUACUUAAUAGUAUGAGAGGAGAGAUUUGUGAAUAAUACUUUAAAGAAUGAAAAGAGAAUGUUUGUAUUUUAAGACCUAUGGUGUCUCAUAUAUAUAUACAGUCGAUUUAUUUCUCAUAUUAAUGACGCACAAUAUUUUGCACAAUAAAUAAUGAAAUCGUUUAAAGAAAGAUAUUAAAUGUGUAUUGUCAAAAAAUGAUUUGCAUACGAUAUGAUUUUAACUUGUGCAAGUAAUCCAUAUUAGAAAGGUAAGUUAUUAAAAACAAACAACCUAAAUAGAAACAUUAAAAUAUUUUGUAAGCAAUGUAAUAAAUAUGAUAUCAACAUGCGCAAGUUUACCGUUUGAAUAAUAAGGAAAUUUUUUAAUAUUUAUCUUAAUUCUAAAUCUUGCCCAAGGGUAAACUAAAUCGAUAAUAUUUAAUGAUUUCAACUUGCGCAAGUAAUCCAUAUUAGAAAGGUAAGUUAUUAAAAACAAAUUUUGUCAAUAAGUUGUUUGCAUAUUUAAUGAUUUCAACUUGUGCAAGAAAUCCAUAUUAGAAAGGUGGACACAUUACCCGAUAUCCGAAGUGGCAUGUCAAGUUUUUUAUUUAAAAAUUAACAAAAAAUUACAUCCAAAUUUUUUUAAAAAUAACUAAAUUAAUGCCUUUUUAGUUUUAAAUUUUUAUUUCUAAAUCUAUUAACCAUUCAAUCUAUUAAAAAUAAAAAAUUAGUUA
rnacentral:lncRNA from 1 species